rnacentral:rRNA from 1 species
UGGGGAAUUUUGGACAAUGGGCGAAAGCCUGAUCCAGCAAUGCCGCGUGUGUGAAGAAGGCCUUCGGGUUGUAAAGCACUUUUGUCCGGAAAGAAAUCCUUGGCUCUAAUACAGUCGGGGGAUGACGGUACCGGAAGAAUAAGCACCGGCUAACUACGUGCCAGCAGCCGCGGUAAUACGUAGGGUGCAAGCGUUAAUCGGAAUUACUGGGCGUAAAGCGUGCGCAGGCGGUUUGCUAAGACCGAUGUGAAAUCCCCGGGCUCAACCUGGGAACUGCAUUGGUGACUGGCAGGCUAGAGUAUGGCAGAGGGGGGUAGAAUUCCACGUGUAGCAGUGAAAAUGCGUAGAGAUGUGGAGGAAUACCGAUGGCGAAGGCAGCCCCCUGGGCCAAUACUGACGCUCAUGCACGAAAGCGUGGGGAGCAAAACAGGAUUAGAUACCCUGGUAGUCCACGCCCUAAAACGAUGUCAACUAGUUGUUGGGGAUUCAUUUCCUUAGUAACGUAGCUAACGCGUGAAGUUGACCGCCUGGGGAGUACGGUCGCAAGAUUAAAAACUCAAAGGAAUUGACGGGGUCAUAGCUGUUUCCU